rnacentral:rRNA from 1 species
GGGCCCGCACAAGCGGUGGAGCAUGUGGUUUAAUUCGAUGCAACGCGAAGAACCUUACCUGGUCUUGACAUCCACGGAAGUUUUCAGAGAUGAGAAUGUGCCUUCGGGAACCGUGAGACAGGUGCUGCAUGGCUGUCGUCAGCUCGUGUUGUGAAAUGUUGGGUUAAGUCCCGCAACGAGCGCAACCCUUAUCCUUUGUUGCCAGCGGGUCCGGCCGGGAACUCAAAGGAGACUGCCAGUGGAUAAAACCGUGGGAAGGUAAGGGG